UACGUAGGGGGCUAGCGUUGUCCGGAAUCAUUGGGCGUAAAGCGCGUGUAGGCGGCUUGACAAGUCUGCUGUGAAAGUCCAGGGCUCAACCCUGGAAUGCCGGUGGAAACUGUCAAGCUAGAGUCCGGAAGAGGCGAGUGGAAUUCCUGGUGUAGCGGUGGAAUGCGCAGAUAUCAGGAGGAACACCAAUAGCGAAGGCAGCUCGCUGGGACGUUACUGACACUGAGGCGCGAAAGCGUGGGGAGCGAACAGG
rnacentral:rRNA from 1 species